GGAAGGAUCAUCGUUGAAAUAUUACUGUGAAUUUAGGCUUAUUAUUUUAGGCUUAUUUUUUACAACAAACAACUUGAACACCCAAAGAGAGAGAGGGGGGGAGAAGAGUGGGUUUUUGGUGGUUGGUUGACUUUGUGUGAAGAGGGAAGGGGGAGGAUGGACUGCCGACGACGAUGUUGUCUGGUGGGCUGUGCGAACUUUGCUUUGUGUGCAAGGUUGACUUUUUAUCAGAUCCAAGCUUUUCUUCAGACCCCAGAAAGUCAAAAAAAAAUGUGGUUGCCUGAUUAAAAGUGUUUUGGUGUUGGGAAUAUUGGAAAAUUCAAAACAACUUUCAACAACGGAUCUCUUGGCUCUCACAUCGAUGAAGAACGUAGCAAAGUGUGAAAAUUAAUGUGAAUUGCAGAAUUGUGUGAAUCAUUGAGUUUUUGAACGCAUCUUGCACUCUUUGGCAUUCCAAGGAGUAUGUCUGUUUGAGUAUCGUGUUCUCACAAAUCAAUUGAGAUUGUUUGUCUUGAUUGGAGUUGAGCGUGUACUUUGAGGUUUGUCUUCCUUUUUGUGACUUUGUGAAGGGGAGGGACCAACUGAGGGGUUCGCUUGAAAUAGAGAGCAGGGCUUCUUUUUUGCGAGAAAAAUCUGCAAGGGGCCUUUUCUGGCUUUGAGGAGAUUUCUUUGAGCAAAUUAGACAGUUAGGGAGAGGGAGCUUGAGGAUCUCACAGCUUGGUUAAGCUUUCAACACACAUGGCCGGUAGAGUCUCUAUUUCGGUCGGCUGUUGGGACCAGGCUUCCCCAAGCUUCUCUUUUGUUUAACAACAAAAAAGCCUUGGAAAAUGCACCGGGAAGUAAAAAAAAGAAAAGAAAAACGGAUCUCAAAUCAGACAAGACUACCCGCUGAAUUUAAGCAUAUAAAUAAGCGGAGGAAAAGAAACUAACAAGGAUUCCCUUAGUAACGGCGAGUGAAGCGGGAAAAGCUCAACUUUGAAAUCUGCCAGGGGUAACAUCUCUGGCCGAAUUGUAGUUUCGAGAAAGAGUCGCUCAAGACAGAGCAGUUGGGUACAAAUUCUUUGGAAUGAGAUAUCAUAGAGGGUGAGAAUCCCGUCCAUGAUCCUUCUGAACUGUCUAACAAAAGGCACUCUUUUCCAAGAGUCGGGCUGUUUGGGAUUGCAGCCCAAAAUGGGUGGUAAAUUUCAUCUAAAGCUAAAUAUGGGUGAGAGACCGAUAGCGAACAAGUACCGUGAGGGAAAGAUGAAAAGCACUCUGAAGAGAGAGUGAAAAGUGCGUGAAAUUGUUGAAAGGGAAACGCUUGAAACCAGUCAAGGCUGGAUGGUCAUCAGGGUGCUUUUUCUCGGGGGCAUGGGCAGUUUGUUGGGAUCGGAGUUAUUAUCUGACUCGGAGGCGGCCCAGGUUAGCCUUGAAAGGUGUCUGCAUUUGGCUGUUCAGCAAGUCAACAUCAGUUUGAGACUUGGGAGAAAGAUGGCGAGAUUUGGUUAGGCUUUGGAUUGGGCCUUUGUUGUCCUCCUUGGCUCAAGCUUGUCCAUCGAUACCGAGAGGAUCAGACUGAGGAACGCAGUAGGAGGCAUCGUCCUGACAGGGAGGUCUUGAGGUUGCGGCGGCCGGAAACAGCCCAGCUGAUUCUGUCGUGGCAGCUCUCUGGACUGGGUUCCCAAGUCCAGGCAGGCCUUUUUUCACUUUGGAUGUUGACGAAAUGGUUUUAAACGACCCGUCUUGAAACACGGACCAAGGAGUCUAACAUGGAUGCAAGUAUUUGGGUGGAGUAAACCCAUGUGCGCAAUGAAAGUGAAUUUACCAAGAGGUAGGAUGUCCACGGCCCAAAAAACCAUGGACAGCACUAUCGACCAAUCUUGACUAGCCUCGGCUUAAUAGACUUGAGUAAGAGCAUGCAUGUUGGGACCCGAAAGAUGGUGAACUAUGCCUGAAUAGGGUGAAGUCAGACGAAAGUCUGAUGGAGGCUCGUAGCGAUUCUGACGUGCAAAUCGAUCGUCAAAUUUGGGUAUAGGGGCGAAAGACUAAUCGAACCAUCUAGUAGCUGGUUCCUGC
rnacentral:misc_RNA from 1 species